rnacentral:rRNA from 1 species
GACGAACGCUGGCGGCGUGCUUAACACAUGCAAGUCGAACGAUGAAGCCGGAGCUUGCUCUGGUGAAUUAGUGGCGAACGGGUGAGUAACACGUGAGUAACCUGCCCUUGACUCUGGGAUAACUGCGGGAAACUGUAGCUAAUACCGGAUACGACCCUCGGAGGCAUCUCCUGGGGGUGGAAAGAAUUUCGGUCAAGGAUGGACUCGCGGCCUAUCAGCUAGUUGGUGAGGUAAAGGCUCACCAAGGCGACGACGGGUAGCCGGCCUGAGAGGGUGACCGGCCACACUGGGACUGAGACACGGCCCAGACUCCUACGGGAGGCAGCAGUGGGGAAUAUUGCACAAUGGGCGCAAGCCUGAUGCAGCAACGCCGCGUGAGGGAUGACGGCCUUCGGGUUGUAAACCUCUUUUGUCAGGGAAGAAACGAAAGUGACGGUACCUGCAGAAAAAGCACCGGCUAACUACGUGCCAGCAGCCGCGGUAA